UGUGGUUCCAGUCAGUCGUUGUCUGGAGGUCUUGUGGUUUGUGCCGCCCAGCUCAUGACAGAAUUCUUCUGCGUCCUUGGCUGUAGUGAAGGUGUUUCUGGCUCUGAAACUGCUGAGUGUGGAUCUGUGGUGAUGGCUGCCCACCCUGAGCCAUGGUGCUGCUCGAAGUUGCUGCCUCUUAAAAGGAAGAUUUUCCUUGUCUCUGUCACCAGCUGCAUGCUCUUGGUGUGAAUUGUUGGGUCUCUG